rnacentral:rRNA from 1 species
UACAGAGGUCUCAAGCGUUGUUCGGAUUCAUUGGGCGUAAAGGGUGCGUAGGUGGCGCCGUAAGUCGGGUGUGAAAUUUCGGAGCUUAACUCCGAAACUGCAUUCGAUACUGCGGUGCUUGAGGACUGGAGAGGAGACUGGAAUUCAUGGUGUAGCAGUGAAAUGCGUAGAGAUCAUGAGGAACACCUGCGGCGAAGGCGGGUUGCUGGGCUGAUACUGACGCUGAGGCGCGAAAGCCAGGGGAGCGAACGGG